UGAGUGUGACAGGUGAGAGUGGGGAGGGAAGGGGUUAAUGAGUGUGACAGGUGAGAGUGGGGAGGGAAGGGGUUAAUGAGUGUGACAGGUGAGAGUGGGGAGGGAAGGGGUUAAUGAGUGUGACAGGUGAGAGUGGGGAGGGAAGGGGUUAAUGAGUGUGACAGGUGAGUGGGGAGGGAAGGGGUUAAUGAGUGUGACAGGUGAGAGUGGGGAGGGAAGGGGUUAAUGAGUGUGACAGGUGAGAGUGGGGAGGGAAGGGGUUAAUGAGUGUGACAGGUGAGAGUGGGGAGGGAAAGGGUUAAUAAGUGUGACAGGUGAGAGUGGGGAGGGAAGGGGUUAAUGAGUGUGACAGGUGAGAGUGGGGAGGGAAAGGGUUAAUAAGUGUGACAGGUGAGAGUGGGGAGGGAAGGGGUUAAUGAGUGACAGGUGAGAGUGGGGAGGGAAGGGGUUAAUGAGUGAGUCAGGCCCAGGUUGGGGGGAGAUCUGAGAGUCAGUGACAGAUGAUAAUGGGGGGGAGGGGUAUCACUUCCUGUCACGGGGAAGAGAAUCGCUGCACAGGUGAGAGAGAGAGAAAGAGAGAGAAGGACAUAGAGGAGAGAUAAAGAAGAAUAAACAGACAGAGGAGAUAUGAGGAGCCAGUGGUUGUGACAGAAAGUGUCGCCUCAGUUACCCGGGUGGAGCCGAUGUCCAUCAUGACCUCUUCGAAGGCCGCAGUCUCCUCCGCUUGUCUCUGGCGCUGCAGGGCGAUCUUUUCGCUGAAUUUGCGCGGGUUGGAGGACGAGGCCGAGCCCGGCCCAUUGGCCCCCGCCGAAGCCGCCAUCUUUCGCUCCUUCCGCAGCCGCCGAGAAAGAGCCCGGUGCAAAACACAGCGGCGAGUCACGCCGGGAAACGUAGUUCCCAAGCGUCGCCGAAUUCCAGAAAGUCAAAGCGAUACCGCCACUAGCGAAACUACAUCUCCCGUCGGCCAGCGCGUUACGUGGGCAGCGGACGGCCCACUGCUUGUCGGGAAUUGAAGUUCAAAGCGCUUCACAUUAGACGGACAAGAACCUGGUAAAAAACUACAAUUCCCAUGGGGCACCGAGGCGGUGAUAGUCUCUGGCCCGCCGGAUUAGGCGUGAAUUGCGUUCUUGCGGCUUGUGCUUUCGGUUGUGUUUAUGGAGGGAAACAAAGGGGCGGGACUAGAGACGACGCAAUUUGUGUGACACUGGGAAAGGGAAAAACGCGGUGUAAUUUGCCUGUAGGAAUAUUAGGCUCGGAUAUGGGCUGUGUGACUGGGAUACGGUGUGAAUGUGUGACUGGGGUAGGACACACGUACUGGAGGCAACUGACAGCGACCCCCUGUCUCGCCCUUCAUGUCUUUUACUAUUUCAAUAAAAGCUCCGGCUGCUCCCCCUCA